GAAUAUGUUUUGAAAAUGGGAGUAUGGUACUUGAUUGAUGGUCGAGUAGGCAAGGGACGCGGGAGGAACCGGCGGACCCAACACAUGGUGGCAAAUACCUGAGGUCGAAAGACCAGUAUGGAAAACCCACAAUUAAAGAAAUGAAAUACGGCUAAUACCUGAGGUCGAAAGGCCGGUAUGGAAACCCCCGUAUUAUCUAUUGGCCAAAUUUGAUGAACAGGUUCCAAAAAUCAAAGUCUAUUGCUAUCAGUCAAGUACCACACUUCAAGGGUACCCGAUAAAGAGAAGGAUUUCAAAGAAAAGGAUCACGAAUGAAGUUAUAGAUGUGAUAUUGUACUUAUUGAAUGGAUAAUGUGUUAUGUGAUUGAUAUAUUGCUAUUACAUCAGUUUCAACUUGCUGAGCCAUUAGCUCAUUAGGUUCUUAUGAUGCAGGUAAUGAUGUACAUGUUUAGAAGUUGACCUAGCCAAGAGCGGCUAGUCAGAUAUUUGUUCAUAUGCCAUGCUUCGAGCCAUUUUUGUAGCCGAGCAGAAACUCUGAUUUCAUUUUGUUAGCCGCUCUAUUAUGGUUUUUGUACAAUGUAAUUUUGUAAACAAUGAAUAUAUAUAUGUACGGAUUUUGAGAAAGUACUAAGUUUGAUUUCUUUUCAAAGCAUAUAACGUAUUUUUGUAUUAAAACCAUAAUGUUUAAGUAUAUAUAUAAAAAGCUUAGCAUCCCUAACUUAAUGGCGGUGAUCCGAUUGGAUUCUGCUGUUAGGUUGUGCGGUGUUACAUUUUUGGUAUCAGAGCGGAGGUUUAAAAUCUUUUCUGAAGACAGAAGAAGGCAUAUGAACAUACUUUGGCUGGGAAGCUAGGUUAACUCUUUUCUUAUUUACCUAUGUGUUUAAUUUAUAUGUUGCAUAGCAAAUAUCCAGAAUUGUUCGGUACGUCAAAUUUCGAGGGCGAAAUUUUAUAAGGAGGGAAGAAUUGUAAUGCCCAACCAUCCAUACAUGGCCAAUAAUAAGCAUAUUGCAUCAAUGCAUAUAGUUAUAAUUCAUUAUUCAUGAUGCAUGAUCACGACUACUUGCUACACAUGUGCCUUAAUUGUGUUUUAAUACGUGAUCGAAUACUUUUCUUAAACUGUGAUAAUAUAUGAUACAUGUUAUUGAACUUCUACUUUAUGAUUUAACAUUAACUUAAAUGAUUUAUUGUAGUGAGAAGUUAAGUUUCUCGCUAAACGGUGAUAUAUUUGUCUUAGAUGCAUUUCUGCAUUUUAAUUAUGAUUAAUUACAUAUGUAAUUAUUUGAAGUAACUCAUACUAGACUAAAACCAAAAGUAUGCAAAAUGGUGCAUUUUGAUUGGUUGGUUGACUAGGUUGCACGAGACCAUUCUGAAAUUGUUUACACUUGAUUAUAAUGAGUAUGCAUCAGCCCAUUUCUUAUCUCAAGCUAUAAAAACGUGGAGGAACCACAAGAAUCCAGCAAAUACAAGCCUUCCAAUCACCAUCCUCCAUUUGGCCUUGUUGGGAAUGGGUAGAUAAGUGAAGACUUUGUGUUUUGGUCUUCAUUUUCACUUGUCUUCUUCCAAAAAUGACCAGACCUAUUUCCUUAAUUUUGUCUUCAUAUUUCUUCACUUCCAUACUCACAUAAGAGAGCAUCAAACCAUAAAAACUCAUAGAAGUAGAGCUAGAACAAGUUCUGCACCUUUUCUAGCUGAAAAUCCUAUGUUUUGAAGUUGAAUUCAUCUCUAAUCAAGGCUUCUAGCACACCUUAUCUAAAACUGAUCCUUUCAUUUCAUAAACCAUUAUUGAUCUUGAGGUAAGUUGAAGCUUUCAUUUGCACAUCGUAAGAACCUAAUUAUGUGCGCUUUAAUGUGACUUUUGCUAUGUAUUCUCUAUAAUGUUUGAAUGAUUGAUGAGUCAUAGUGAUAUGAAAGAAUAUGUUUUGAAAAUGGGAGUAUGGUACUUGAUUGAUGGUCGAGUAGGCAAGGGACGCAGGAGGAACCGGCGGACCCAACACAUGGUGGCAAAUACCUGAGGUCGAAAGACCAGUAUGGAAAACCCACAAUUAAAGAAAUGAAAUACGGCUAAUACCUGAGGUCGAAAGGCCGGUAUGGAAACCCCCGUAUUAUCUAUUGGCCAAAUUUGAUGAACAGGUUCCGAAAAUCAAAGUCUAUUGCUAUCAGUCAAGUACCACACUUCAAGGGUACCCGAUAAAGAGAAGGAUUUCAAAGAAAAGGAUCACGAAUGAAGUUAUAGAUGUGAUAUUGU
rnacentral:lncRNA from 1 species